rnacentral:tRNA from 1 species
GGUCUCGUAGCUCAGCUGGUAUAGCGUGCGCUUUAAGAAAAUGUAGACGGCGUCCAUGCGUGGGUUAGAAUCCCAUCGAGGCUA